UGAAACUGCAAUCUGCUCCAUACGCUGCUUCAACAUCUCUGUAUCAGACAAGAUACCACUAUUGUAGCAGACGCCAAAUUCACCAGAACUUGUCACGGGUCUAGCUUUGCGGGCCCCAGAAAUGCUAGCUAAGCAAGAUGGAAUUCCAAGUGGUGGGAAUACCUGGCUUCGGUCUAACGUGGUCCGGUCUUUGCUCUGUGCCCUUGGAUUUUCCAUGGAUCGUUGAACCAAUGCUGCCUUUUCAUUCUCAGGCUGCUCAGCAACUGCUUGAAGG
rnacentral:lncRNA from 1 species